GACGAACGCUGGCGGCGUGCUUAACACAUGCAAGUCGAACGGUAAGGCCCCAGCUUGCUGGGGUACACGAGUGGCGAACGGGUGAGUAACACGUGGGUGACCUGCCCCGCACUUCGGGAUAAGCCUGGGAAACUGGAUCUAAUACCGGAUAGGACCGCACCGUGAGGGUGUGGUGGAAAGUUUUUCGGUGUGGGAUGGGCCCGCGGCCUAUCAGCUUGUUGGUGGGGUAAUGGCCUACCAAGGCGGCGACGGGUAGCCGGCCUGAGAGGGUGGACGGCCACAUUGGGACUGAGACACGGCCCAGACUCCUACGGGAGGCAGCAGUGGGGAAUAUUGCACAAUGGGCGGAAGCCUGAUGCAGCGACGCCGCGUGGGGGAUGACGGCCUUCGGGUUGUAAACUCCUUUCACCAUCGACGAAGGUUUUCUGACGGUAGAUGGAGAAGAAGCACCGGCUAACUACGUG
rnacentral:rRNA from 1 species